GGGGCUGUGGCCUAGUCCGGCAUGGCGACGGGCUCCAGCGGAAAACCGGAGAAAUCCGGAAGUGAUGAUGAGCAACGGGUCUACCGAGUGAACCGGACGCGGUAAACAAUGAGGAACCGUUGGAGCACUGAACGUGCUGCUCAAAGAUUAAAUUGCCAAAAACCUGGCAUUUUCGGAGAGACCCGUCGAUCGUGAGUUCAAAUCUCACCAGCCCCA
rnacentral:tRNA from 1 species